rnacentral:rRNA from 1 species
AUGCAGCUGAGCGGUAGAGAUCUUUCGGGAUCUUGAGAGCGGCGUACGGGUGCGGAACACGUGUGCAACCUGCCUCAUUCAGGGGGAUAGCCUUUCGAAAGGAAGAUUAAUACCCCAUAAUAUAUUGAGUGGCAUCACCAUAUAUUGAAAACUCCGGUGGAUAGAGAUGGGCACGCGCAAGAUUAGAUAGUUGGUGAGGUAACGGCUCACCAAGUCUACGAUCUUUAGGGGGCCUGAGAGGGUGAUCCCCCACACUGGUACUGAGACACGGACCAGACUCCUACGGGAGGCAGCAGUGAGGAAUAUUGGACAAUGGGUGCGAGCCUGAUCCAGCCAUCCCGCGUGAAGGACGACGGCCCUAUGGGUUGUAAACUUCUUUUGUAUAGGGAUAAACCUACUCUCGUGAGAGUAGCUGAAGGUACUAUACGAAUAAGCACCGGCUAACUCCGUGCCAGCAGCCGCGGUAAUACGGAGGGUGCAAGCGUUAUCCGGAUUUAUUGGGUUUAAAGGGUCCGUAGGCGGAUCUGUAAGUCAGUGGUGAAAUCUCACAGCCAUACUGUGAAACUGCCAUUGAUACUGCAGGUCUUGAGUGUUGUUGAAGUAGCUGGAAUAAGUAGUGUAGCGGUGAAAUGCAUAGAUAUUACUUAGAACACCAAUUGCGAAGGCAGGCAUAGCAACAACUGACGCUGAUGGACGAAAGCGUGGGGAGCGAACAGGAUUAGAUACCCUGGUAGUCCACGCCGUAANCGAUGCUAACUCGUUUUUGGGUUUUCGGAUUCAGAGACUAAGCGAAAGUGAUAAGUUAGCCACCUGGGGAGUACGAACGCAAGUUUGAAACUCAANGGAAUUGACGGGGGCCCGCACAAGCGGUGGAUUAUGUGGUUUAAUUCGAUGAUACGCGAGGAACCUUACCAAGGCCAUAAUGGGAAAUGACAGGCUUAGAAAUAGGCUUUUCUUCGGACAUUUUUCAAGGUGCUGCAUGGUUGUCGUCAGCUCGUGCCGUGAGGUGUUAGGCAUAGUCCUGCAACGAGCGCAACCCCUGUCACUAGUUGCCAUCAUUAAGUUGGGGACUCUAGUGAGACUGCCUACGCAAGUAAA